GUCGUGGCUCAAUGGCAGAGCAACUGACUUGUAAUCAGUAGGUUGUAGGUUCGACUCCUAUCGACGG
rnacentral:tRNA from 1 species